rnacentral:lncRNA from 10 species
CUGAGGUGCUGAGAUCGUGGGGCCACGUAACAUUCUCUGGGCGGGAGUGGCGUGGUCAGGGAAGGCUUCCCAGAAGAAAUAGCAGUUGAACUGAAACCUGGAGCGAGAGUUAGAUGAAGCAGGAGAAACUGGGUAGGGGUAGGGGAGGCAAAGGGUUCCAGGUGGAAAUGUGCUGAAGCCAGAGGGGUGAGUGGGAAGCAGGAGGCACUGGAAGAGGUUGAGUAUGGUUGCUGGGUGGGGUUUAAGGCAGAGAUGCGGGGGAGAUGAGGGAAGGUGAGGUGGGAGAGAAAGGUAGGGGCUGUGUCGAGAGCCUGGGUAUUGGUUCGGGGGGGUGGUCCCUGGAGAAUUUUAAGCAGGGGAAAGAUGCAUUCCAAUUUGUAUGUUUCAAAGAACAGUGUCUACAGAGUAGAGAACACACUGAGACAAGGCUGGAAGUGGGGAGGUCCCUAGGAGACAGUUGCUUUCACAUAAGCUGGAGAGGAUGGUGGUAUGGACUGGGAAGGUUGUGGUGAAGGUAGGGGGGAUAGACAGAUCUGGGUGCCAGGGAAGGAGCAAGAAGGGCUCAGCUUGGUGACUGGAUGAGGCUGGAGAGAGAGGAGAGAUGGUGGCAGUGAGGGCAGGGAGAACCUGAGGCUGAUGUGCAGGUGGCUUGGGUACUUGCAUGGAUGGAGGCCCCGGAAGAGGACCAGGCUGUUGGGGGAAGGUUGGGAGUUGGACUUAAAGUGCCUAUGUGACAUCCAAGUGGAGAGAUUAAGGGGACAAUUGGCUAUUUGGAGCUUGGAGUUCAGGAGACAGAGGCCUGGGUUGGGGACAGAGAUGAGAACUCAUCAGCAAAUGGUGACCAAAGAGGGUGACGAGAAGACUGAGAAGACACCUGUGGGAAUCACAUUUCACUAAGGGAAAGGCAGGGGAGGGGGAGGGAGCCAGGAAAGGAGGCCAAGAAGCAGUGUCUUGAGAUAGAAUAAAUAUCAGGAGAGAAGGAGCCGGAAUGGCAAGGAUGAGGUGCCUGGGGAAGCAGACAGGGUCAGCGCUUCAAAUGCUGCUGAGACGCCGGGCAAGACCAGCACUGAAACUGUCCUCUCCACUCGUAAGGAGUUGACUGGAGACUUCAGUGAGAAUUGUCUUCAGCAGAGCGAUGGAGCCAGGGCCAGAGUCUGGUGGACUCAGCCAGAGUGUGGGAGGGAAGGGAAUGAGGCUGGAACAUUCUUACAGGCCAUUCAGCUGUGACAGUGCAGGGUGGGGAGACGUGGUGUCCAGACACUCCAUAGGUACACACUUUCCUGCCCCCAGAUCAAUCAGUGUGGGUAGGAGGAGAGAAGAAGGGGUACCUCUGGGACCCUCUCCAUCUAAUCCUUAAAGUCAUUUUGUAGCAUUUGAUAUAUAUGAAAAAAGAAUACAUGGAACAUACUUGUAAGCCAUGAAGCCAAACAACAAAAUGAUUAUCUCAAACCUUCCUCCCAACCCAAGAUCUCCAACUAGUGUGUUUCUGCCCCAAACCAUGUCCCUGCCCAGCCCUGGGGUAGACAUUACCCUGAAUUUUAUGUUGAUUAUUUCCUUGCUUUUGAAAAUACUUUUAUUAGGCAUGAAUGUAUCCCUAAACAAUAUAUUGUUUUGUUUUGCUUGUUUUUGAGUUUUAUAAAAAUGCUAUUAUAAAGUA